GUGCUCACUUUGGCAGCACAUAUACUAAAAUUGGAAUGACACAAUUGGAUUAGUACAGCCCCUGUGCAAGGAUGACACACAAAUUCAUGAAGUGUUCCAUAUUUUU
ensembl:snRNA U6 U6 spliceosomal RNA